GGGCGGUUAGCUCAGCGGGAGAGCAUCGGCCUUACAAGCCGGGGGUCACAGGUUCAAAUCCUGUACCGCCCACCA
rnacentral:tRNA from 3 species